rnacentral:rRNA from 1 species
GAUGAACGCUGGCGGCGUGCCUAAUACAUGCAAGUCGAGCGAACGGACGAGAAGCUUGCUUCUCUGAUGUUAGCGGCGGACGGGUGAGUAACACGUGGAUAACCUACCUAUAAGACUGGGAUAACUUCGGGAAACCGGAGCUAGUACCGGAUAAUAUUUUGAACCGCAUGGUUCAAAAGUGAAAGAAGGUCUUGCUGUCACUUAUAGAUGGAUCCGCGCUGCAUUAGCUAGUUGGUAAGGUAACGGCUUACCAAGGCAACGAUGCAUAGCCGACCUGAGAGGGUGAUCGGCCACACUGGAACUGAGACACGGUCCAGACUCCUACGGGAGGCAGCAGUAGGGAAUCUUCCGCAAUGGGCGAAAGCCUGACGGAGCAACGCCGCGUGAGUGAUGAAGGUCUUCGGAUCGUAAAACUCUGUUAUUAGGGAAGAACAUAUGUGUAAGUAACUGUGCACAUCUUGACGGUACCUAAUCAGAAAGCCACGGCUAACUACGUG